rnacentral:rRNA from 1 species
CAGCAGCCGCGGGAACACCGAGGGUGCAAGCGUUAAUCGGAUUUACUGGGCGUAAAGGGCGCGUAGGUGGUUAUGUAAGUGAGAUGUGAAAUCCCCGGGCUCAACCUGGGAACUGCAUCUUAUACUGCGUAGCUGGAGUGCAGUAGAGGGUAGUGGAAUUUCCGGUGUAGCGGUAAAAUGCGUAGAUAUCGGAAGGAACACCAGUGGCGAAGGCGGCUACCUGACUGACACUGACACUGAGGCGCGAAAGCGUGGGGAGCAAACAGGAUUAGAUACCCCGUAGUCCCUGUCUCUUAUACAC